UUCCUUUUGCUGAUAAUGCUCUUGGUGGGAAAACUUCUGAGAACUGGGGAAGUUUUACUUUCAUUUGAGAAAUGUUUAUCGAGCACCUGUUUGUUGCAGACACUGGGCUAGAAGCUGGCACACGGUGUAAAGAAGGCAGACAUGGUCUCUGACCUUGAGGAAUUUCCAGUCAGGAGGUGGGUCAGAAAGGAUCUUGCUGUGAUUUACUGGCAUGGACUUUGGAUUCCAAUCAGAUUGUGUCUUAAAUACUUCAAUAAUCCCUAAGGCCAAACUGGGGAAAAGAACUAAUUAAGCUCUUCCCUUUCUUGGAUGAUGGACUUGGUCCCAUGGCUAUGGUGAAGAUCUCUGGGUGCUCUUUGUUAAGUGCUGGUUGGAACUUAAAUAAACAGAUUACUGGUCAAUAGUCCCAUUCAUUCCUACAGGGUGACAAAAUAUCACUUGUAUUUAUGUGCAGCUUUGCUCUUCAUUUAAACUUUUCACUCCAAUCUGCUCUAUUUUGAAGCAGCAUUUCCUCAAACAGGCUAAUUAGCUGUUUGUUUGUUUUUUUGUUUUUUACUUAACCCAAUUUAGCCCUU